AGUGGAUGGGGAGCAACCUAGUUGUGCGUGUGUAAAGGUAGUGCCAAGAAAAGCGAUGAUCAUGUUGAAAAUCAAUUCCCGGUACCCGAAACCGACACAGGUGGGCAAGUAGAGAAUACUAAGGGGCGCGAGGUAACUCUCUCCAAGGAACUCGGCAAAAUGACCCCGUAACUUAGGGAGAAGGGGUGCCACCGAGAGGUGGUCGCAGUGAAGAGGCCCAGGCGACUGUUUAGCAAAAACAUAGGUCUCUGCAAACUCGAAAGAGGAGGUAUAGGGGCUGACGCCUGCCCAGUGCCGGAAGGUUAAAGAAGUUGGUCAGUUUUAGGAUGAAGCUAGCGACUGAAGCCCCGGUGAACGGCGGCCGUAACUAUAACGGUCCUAAGGUAGCGAAAUUCCUUGUCGGGUAAGUUCCGACCCGCACGAAAGGCGUAACGAUCUGGGCGCUGUCUCGGAGAGAGGCUCGGCGAAAUAGGAUUGUCUGUGAAGAUACGGACUACCUGCAUUUGGACAGAAAGACCCUAUGAAGCUUUACUAUAGCUUGGAAUUGUGUUCGGGCUUCCUGUGCGCAGGAUAGGUGGGAGGCGUAGAAGGUAUUCUUGUGGGGAUACUGGAGCCAACGGUGAGAUACCACUCUCAGGAGGCUAGAAUUCUAACUUAAUUAAGGACAGUUUCAGGUGGGUAGUUUGACUGGGGCGGUCGCCUCCAAAAAGGUAACGGAGGCGUACAAAGGUUCCCUCAGACUGGUUGGAAAUCAGUCGAAGAGUGCAAAGGCAGAAGGGAGCUUGACUGCGAGAAGUACAGUUCGAGCAGGGUGGAAACACGGUCUUAGUGAUCCGACGGUGCUGUGUGGAAGGGCCGUCGCUCAACGGAUAAAAGUUACUCUAGGAUAACAGGCUGAUCUCCCCCAAGAGUUCACAUCGACGGGGAGGUUUGGCACCUCGAUGUCGGCUCAUCGCAACCUGGGGCGGAAGUACGUCCCAAGGGUUGGGCUGUUCGCCCAUUAAAGCGGUACGUGAGCUGGGUUCAGAACGUCGUGAGACAGUUCGGUCCAUAUCCGAUGUAGGCGUGAGAAUAUUGAGAGGAGCCUUCCUUAGUACGAGAGGACCGGGAAGGACGCACCGCUGGUGUACCUGUUAUGAUGCCAAUUGUAAACGCAGGGUAGCCAAGUGCGGAGAGGAUAACCGCUGAAAGCAUCUAAGUGGGAAGCCCACCUCAAGAUGAGUAUUCUGGUGUAAGGUCACGGGAAGACGACCCGUAAAUAGGCACGAGGUGGAAGUGCAGAGAUGUAUGAAGCCGAAGUGUACUAAUAGACCGUCGGCUUGA
rnacentral:rRNA from 1 species